UAUUAUUUAAAAUGUAAUUGUAAAUAUUUAAGUAGUAAUAGUUAUGUUCUUGAAACUUAAAAAAUUUGGCGGUAUUUUAGUCUAUCCAGAGGAACCUGUUUUGUAAUCGAUAAUCCACGAUGGACCUUACUUAAAUUUGUAAUCAAUUUAUAUACCGUCGUUAUCAGAAUAUUUUAUAAGAAUAAUAAUAUUCAAUAAUUUUUAUUAAAAUUUAUAUCAGAUCAAGGUGUAGUUUAUGUUUAAGUAAUAAUGGGUUACAAUAAAUAUAUUUAUACGGAUAAAAUUAUGAAAAAAUUUUUGAAGGUGGAUUUGGUAGUAAAAUUAUAAAGAUAAAUAAUUUGAUUUUAGCUCUAAAAUAUGUACACAUCGCCCGUCGCUCUUAUUAUUAAGGUAAGAUAAGUCGUAACAUAGUAGAUGUACUGGAAAGUGUAUCUAGAAUGA
rnacentral:rRNA from 1 species